UACGUAGGGUGCAAGCGUUAUUCGGAAUUACUGGGCGUAAAGCGUGCGCAGGCGGUUUGGUAAGACAGAUGUGAAAUCCCCGGGCUUAACCUGGGAAUUGCAUUUGUGACUGCCCGGCUAGAGUUUGGCAGAGGGGGGUAGAAUUCCACGUGUAGCAGUGAAAUGCGUAGAUAUGUGGAGGAAUACCGAUGGCGAAGGCAGCCCCCUGGGUCAAGACUGACGCUCAUGCACGAAAGCGUGGGGAGCAAACAGG
rnacentral:rRNA from 1 species